rnacentral:rRNA from 1 species
GACGAACGCUGGCGGCGUGCUUAACACAUGCAAGUCGAACGGAAAGGCCCUGCUUUUGUGGGGUGCUCGAGUGCCGAACGGGUGAGUAACACGUGAGUAACCUGCCCUUGUCUUUGGGAUAACUUCAGGAAACUGGGGCUCAUACCGGAUAGGAGCUCCUGCUCCAUGGUGGGGGUUGGAAAGUUUCGGCUGUUGGGGAUGGACUCGCGGCUUCGCAGCUUGUUGGUGGGGUAGUGGCUUACCAAGGGUUUGACGGGUAGCCUGCCUGAGAGGGCGAUCGGCCACACUGGAAGUGAGACGCGGUCCAGAGUACUAAGGGAGGCACGAGUAGGGAAGGGGGGGAAAUGGGCGAAAUACUGACGGAGCGACGCCGAGUGAGUGACGAAGGCCCGCGGAGCGGAAAACUGUGUUAGGAGGGAAGAACAAAUGUGUCAGUAACUAAGCAUGUAUUGAGGGUAGGUAAUAAGAAAGCCAGGGCUAACUACGUG